rnacentral:rRNA from 1 species
GCAAGUCGAACGAGAGGACAGGAGCUUGCUCCUGGGCUCUAGUGGCAGACGGGUGAGUAACGCGUGGGCAAUCUACCUCCGAUUAUGGAAUACCUGGCCGAAAGGCCCGUUAAUACCAUAUAACAUCUUAGAUACUUCGGUAUCUUUGAUCAAAGUUGGGGUCCUCGAAAUGGGACCUGACGAUUGGAGAGGAGCUCGCGUCAGAUUAGCUAGUUGGUGGGGUAAUGGCCUACCAAGGCAACGAUCUGUAGCCGGCCUGAGAGGGUGAUCGGCCACACUGGAACUGAGACACGGUCCAGACUCCUACGGGAGGCAGCAGUGGGGAAUUUUGCGCAAUGGGGGAAACCCUGACGCAGCAACGCCGCGUGGGUGAAGAAGCAUCUUGGUGCGUAAAGCCCUGUCAACAGAGAACAAAGUGCAUCGGUUAAUACCCGGUGUAUUUGAUUGUAUCUGUGGAGGAGGCCCCGGCUAACUUCGUGCCAGCAGCCGCGGUAAUACGAGGGGGGCAAGCGUUAUUCGGAAUUAUUGGGCGUAAAG